UGGGGAAUUUUGGACAAUGGGCGCAAGCCUGAUCCAGCAAUGCCGCGUGCAGGAUGAAGUAUUUCGGUAUGUAAACUUCGAAAGAAUAGGAAGAAUAAAUGACGGUACUAUUUAUAAGGUCCGGCUAACUACGUGCCGGCAGCCGCGGUAAUACGUAGGGACCAAGCGUUGUUCGGAUUUACUGGGCGUAAAGGGCGCGUAGGCGGCAAUUCAAGUCAUCUGUGAAAUCUCCGGGCUUAACUCGGAACGGUCGGAUGAUACUGCUUUGCUAGAGUGCAGAAGGGGCAAUCGGAAUUCUUGGUGUAGCGGUGAAAUGCGUAGAUAUCAAGAGGAACACCUGAGGUGAAGACGGGUUGCUGGGCUGACACUGACGCUGAGGCGCGAAAGCCAGGGGAGCAAACGGGAUUAGAUACCCUUGUAGUCCCUGAGCGGGCUGGCAAGGCGCAU
rnacentral:rRNA from 1 species